GACGAACGCUGGCGGCGUGCUUAACACAUGCAAGUCGAACGGAAAGGCCCUUCGGGGUACUCGAGUGGCGAACGGGUGAGUAACACGUGGGUGAUCUGCCCUGCACUUGUGGAUAAGCCUGGGAAACUGGGUCUAAUACCGAAUAGGACCACGCGCUUCAUGGUGUGUGGUGGAAAGCUUUUGCGGUGUGGGAUGGGCCCGCGGCCUAUCAGCUUGUUGGUGGGGUAAUGGCCUACCAAGGCGACGACGGGUAGCCGGCCUGAGAGGGUGGCCGGCCACACUGGGACUGAGAUACGGCCCAGACUCCUACGGGAGGCAGCAGUGGGGAAUAUUGCACAAUGGGCGCAAGCCUGAUGCAGCGACGCCGCGUGAGGGAUGACGGCCUUCGGGUUGUAAACCUCUUUAAAUAGGGACGAAGCGCAAGUGACGGUACCUAUAGAAGAAGCACCGGCCAACUACGUG
rnacentral:rRNA from 1 species